ACCCCGUUAGGAACUGUCAAGGCCGCUGAUAGCAGCAGUCGGUGGCUUUGCUGUGUCUGGCGUGGUGGAGGACACGGAUGUUCUGUCGCAGGUUUGAUACGUCUAACUCGAUGUCGUCUUUACCGCUCCUACAGUUACUGGCCCUGCUGACACUGGGACUGUGACACACACAUCCACAGCUCAUCUGAUCCGGCCACCGAGCAGCUAUACAAGCCUCUUCCCUCCCCGCCCCCGCUGCAGGCUCUUCUCCUGCUCGUAAUGCUACUAUGAGGCCAAGCAGUAUGAGAUGGAAUUCCUGUCAUCCAUCAGAAUCUGUCAAUUAGUUUAAUUAUAUAGUUGUUGGAGUAAUGUUAUCUAAAAAACAAAAUAACAAGACACAAAGCUCCACAUCUCAGUAGCAGCAUGUGCACAGGUGUUUUUAAAGGACUUUUGAGACUUCAACUUUCAUUUUCUUUAUGCACAACUGCAAGCUGAUUCUAUUUUGUAUUAUUAUUUAUGAAUGAUAAAUACAUGUUGUUUAAAGAAAUGGGACCUGCGCCUCCUUUUUUUGAAAGCACAUUGUCAAGGACAAUCACUAGUUAUCGGUUUGCGAUGGGCGAUGCAGAACUAUAGGAUGGUCGUGACCACAAAACAAAUUCAUCACAAAAGAUUUUAAUAAGCAUAAAAAGCAGUAAACAUGGAGCGCUCACCAUUGUUCCUUUGACAAACACUUGAUUACUGGGAUAUGUGCCCGUAUGUUGGUGUGACCUCGUAACCGUAUAGCAGUAUGCUGUAAUUAUUGCAGAACAUUCAGCACCUCUCGUCAGAUCUGUGCCAGGUGUAAACAUUCCUACGGUCUUGGAGCAUGCUUCCCCUUCGUUUUGUGUGUCGGACAGAUGUG